CAAUCUCUUGGGACACUGGGGAUACUGAGAGGCUUGAAUCCUUCUCUGCGGAAUCGCUUUCUCCAAUACGCAGUGCUGUCCACAACCGACUUCCAGUCAUUACACACCAGGCGGCACACAUUAAUCACCUGCUGGCCAGAAACACACACCAAGUGACAAUCCCUGAAUAUCUCUAGGAGCUGAGUGUGACAAGUUUUAAAACAACAACAACAACAAAAAUUGCAGUCAGUGCAGUAAAGAGUGGAAAGUCCAUUGAGAGGCAAGGGCGAGUCCAAAAAAAGAAUGAAACGAGUCUUCUGUCUUUUUGGCAGAACACAAAGAAGUCUUGCUGAAAGAGCCCCGUUCUCUUGGGAUUCAGUUCACAUUCCUUUAGAAUUCUCUGGUAUAAUUCAAAACUCAUUGUUCAAUGAAUGAUGGCAAGUUGUCCCAGCUCAGAUGCAGCAAAACAGGCACAAACUAUGAUACUACCACCACCAUGUUUCACAGAUAGGAUAAGGUUCUUAUGCUGGAAUGCAGUGUUUUCCUUUCUCCAAACAUAACGCUUCUCAUUUAAAUCAAAAAUUCUAUUUUGGUCUCAUCCACCCACAAAACAUUUUCCAAAUCUCCACAAGCCUUCUAGCUCAUCCACGUGAUCAGAUGGGCAGCAAUCUCCUUUGUUUGUUCUAUGGUACACUUCCACAAUCCUGUGUUGUGACGAUCAGACUUUGAUAGAUGCUUGUUCUUUAAAUAAAACGGG